AUGUUCCAGAGAUGUACAGGCCAACUCUUAAGCACCAGCAAGUGUUCCAUUUUAUUCAGUGAGAGUUGCCCUAGUGCUUUGCAAGAUGAAAGCAAGGCGAUCCUAGCUUGUGACUCCUCUAUGUUCGAAAGCAAGUACCUGGGGCUCCCAACCCCGGAGGGUAGAAUGAAAGAUGAGAAGUUCCAGCCUAUCAUGGACAGAUUCUUGAAAAGGUGUAGCGAUUGGGCUGGAAGACAUAUGUCUUUUGCUGCGAAAGAGGUGCACGUCAAAGCAAUUGUUCAAGCGCUGCCAACCUUUGCUAUGGGUGUUUUCAAGUUCUCAGUGGGCUUCUGCGAGAAGUACGAGCGUUUCAUUAGGGAAUUCUGGUGGGGAGAGGAGGAGGGACAAAGGAAAGUUCACUGGAUGGCAUGGGAACGUAUGAUUAAGCCGAAGAGAGCAGCAGGGAUUGGCUUUCGUGACAUGCAAAUUUUCAACCAAGCUCUCUUAGCGAGACAAGGUUGGCGCCUCAUUCAGAAUCCAAACAGCUUGUGUGCGAGGGUUUUGAAAUCCAAAUACUAUCCAAAAGGUGAUCUACUGGAUACCGUCUUCUCCUCUGACGCUUCCCAGGCAUGGAGAGGUAUAGAGCAUGGUCUAGAACUGCUGAAGAAGGGCCUGAUUUGGAGAGUGGGAAAUGGGAAGAAAAUCCAAAUCCAAAGAGAUCAAUGGGUUCCUAGGAAGAGUGGGCUGAAGAUUACCACUUUCAAGAGGCGAUCAAGAUUACGGUGGGUGAAUCAGCUAAUGAAGAGAGGAGGAAAUGAAUGGGAUGAGGACUUGAUC
rnacentral:rRNA from 1 species